GGACAUAUCUCAGUGGUAGCGCAUCUACGUUGCAUGCUGAAGGUCCCAGGUUCAGUCCCUGGCAUCUCCA